UACGUAGGGUGCAAGCGUUCUCCGGAAUUAUUGGGCGUAAAGAGCUCGUAGGCGGUUUGUCGCGUCUGCUGUGAAAACUGGAGGCUCAACCUCCAGCCUGCAGUGGGUACGGGCAAACUAGAGUGCGGUAGGGGAGAUUGGAAUUCCUGGUGUAGCGGUGGAAUGCGCAGAUAUCAGGAGGAACACCGAUGGCGAAGGCAGAUCUCUGGGCCGUAACUGACGCUGAGGAGCGAAAGCAUGGGGAGCGAACAGG
rnacentral:rRNA from 1 species